rnacentral:rRNA from 1 species
AGCCUUUAGCUAAACAAGUAUUAAAGGUCCUGCCUGCCCAGUGAUUUUUAAACGGCCGCGGUAUCCUAACCGUGCAAAGGUAGCGUAAUCACUUGUCUUUUAAAUAAAGACCUGUAUGAACGGCUAAAUGAGGAUAAACCUGUCUCUUAUAACCAAUCAGUGAAACUGAUCUUCCAGUACAAAAGCUGGAAUAACCACAUAAGACGAGAAGACCCUGUGGAGCUUAAAACAAACCGCUAAAUAGACACCCGUCUGCCUUAGCACGCGUUUUCAGUUGGGGCGACUUCGGAAUAAAAAACAACUUCCGAGCACAGAGCCACAGCCUCUAACUAAGGCCAACAAGCCAAAGCACCAAAACAG